AGCCCCGUGGUGUAGUGGCCAAUCAUAGGGGCCUUUGGAGCCCCUGACAGCGGUUCGAAUCCGCUCGGGGCUA
rnacentral:tRNA from 1 species